rnacentral:rRNA from 1 species
CGUAGGUGCGAGCGUUGUCCGGAAUUAUUGGGCGUAAAGGGCUCGUAGGCGGUUUGUCGCGUCGGGAGUGAAAACGCCGUGCUUAACACGGUGCUUGCUUUCGAUACGGGCAGACUAGAGGCAUGCAGGGGAGAACGGAAUUCCUGGUGUAGCGGUGAAAUGCGCAGAUAUCAGGAGGAACACCGGUGGCGAAGGCGGUUCUCUGGGCAUGUCCUGACGCUGAGGAGCGAAAGUGUGGGGAGCGAACAGGAUU